rfam:Calocera cornea HHB12733 unplaced genomic scaffold CALCOscaffold_5, whole genome shotgun sequence.
GGUGAGAUGGCCGAGCGGUCUAAGGCGCAAGACUAAGGAUCUUGUCCGAAAGGGCGUGGGUUCGAAUCCCACUCUCAUCA